UAGAUUUGUGUUUAAGUUCCUUAAGAACACAGGGCUUUUUGAUAGGAUUUAGUUAACAUUUUUAUUUAUUUAUUUAUUUAGUUAGUUAGUUAGUCACUCCUUCGUCGAUGCUCCACAUCUGUGGUUUCACAAUUGUACAGUUGGUGGCGGUAAUGCAACAUUCUGGAUGCCAACCGCCAAUAAAUUGCAAGAAGAAAAGGUGAUUUUUGUUCUGUUCCUCAAUGUAAUAAUUCACGACUGAAAUGUUUGGCACAAGGAAAGAAGGUAACGUUUUACAGAUAUCCCAGAAUCCAUAGCGCCGUCAGACAGGUUUUUUUUUUUCCCCGUCAGCCGCCGACUCAGCUGUGGACGUUUUUGCUCAUCAAUUCAUCUUUUAGCAAGAAAAAUAGUGCCAGAAGUUAGGAAAUGUCUGAAGCCAGUGGCACCAGCAGUUCAUCACAUUCAAAGGGCUCACCAAAGAUCCGUUGUAAUAAAGGAGGCUAUAGUGGAAACUGGUGCAAAGCCCCUGGCUGUGAGAACCAGUCAGGCAGAGCAAGGAGCUAGGGAUCAAGAGAAGCUACUACCUUUUCCCUAAAAAUGAUGCCAAGAACAUUGCAAGGAGGAAGCUUUGGUUGAAAGCCAUACCCCGAGAGAAAUGGGAGCCUGGGCCCUGCAGUUGUAUCUGCUCAGAUCACUUUGUAGGAGGGAAAAAAGAUGAUGUACCAGGAAGUCUGGGAUAUGUCCCAACUAUUUUCAGGAAGGCAGACAAAGCCAGAGAGAAGAGAAGCCCCAAGAAAAGGGCGUCAAAGACUUCUUUGAGAACAAAUGACUUUGUCCACCCAAAAACAACCCCCAAAAAGAUGUCUGUGAAGCGUAAACUUCAAGAAUUUGACGAUAUGCUACCGGACACACCGGGACGACCCAAAAUCCUUAAAGGUAGGGAUGACAGGAGAGAUGAUUCUGCUUCAGAUUGGAAAACAAUGGAUCACGACUACAAAAAAAACAAACAAAAUCUUUACACUAUGUUCUGUUGUAUACUGAACAUUUGGAAACUCUUCUGGAGCAGGAAAGACGGCAAUUUAAGAUAGAG